CAACAGGGAUUGCCCUAGUAACGGCGAGUGAAGCGGCAACAGCUCAAAUUUGAAAUCUGGCCUUCGGGUCCGAGUUGUAAUUUGUAGAGGAUGCUUUUGGCGCAGUGCCUUCCGAGUUCCCUGGAACGGGACGCCUUAGAGGGUGAGAGCCCCGUACGGUUGGACACUAAGCCUCUGUAAAGCUCCUUCGACGAGUCGAGUAGUUUGGGAAUGCUGCUCUAAAUGGGAGGUAAAUUUCUUCUAAAGCUAAAUAUUGGCCAGAGACCGAUAGCGCACAAGUAGAGUGAUCGAAAGAUGAAAAGCACUUUGAAAAGAGGGUUAAAUAGCACGUGAAAUUGUUGAAAGGGAAGCGUUUGCGACCAGACUUUUUCCCAGCGGAUCAUCCGGUGUUAUCACCGGUGCACUUCGCUAGGUGAAGGCCAGCAUCGGUUUCUGUAGGGGGAUAAAAGCUUGGGGAAUGUAGCUCCCUCGGGAGUGUUAUAGCCCCUCGUAUAAUACCCUUAUAGGGACCGAGGACCGCGCUUUUUGCAAGGAUGCUGGCGUAAUGGUUGUCAACGA
rnacentral:rRNA from 2 species